rnacentral:rRNA from 1 species
UGAGGAACAUGACCUUCGGCGGGGGAUAGCCGGCCCAACGGCCGGGUAAUACCGCGUACGACCUUUUGGGGACAUCCUCGAAAGGUGAAAGCAGCAAUGCGCCGAUGGAGUGCCUCGCGGCCUAUCAGCUAGUUGGUGGGGUAACGGCUCACCAAGGCGACGACGGGUAGCUGGUCUGAGAGGAUGGCCAGCCACAGUUGGGACUGAGACACGGCCCAGACUCCGUACGGGGAGCAGCAGGG